rnacentral:rRNA from 1 species
CAGCCGCCGCGGUAAUACGUAGGGUGCGAGCGUUAAUCGGAAUUACUGGGCGUAAAGCGUGCGCAGGCGGUCCGCUAAGACAGAUGUGAAAUCCCCGGGCUUAACCUGGGAACUGCAUUUGUGACUGGCGGGCUAGAGUAUGGCAGAGGGGGGUAGAAUUCCGCGUGUAGCAGUGAAAUGCGUAGAGAUGUGGAGGAAUACCGAUGGCGAAGGCAGCCCCCUGGGCCAAUACUGACGCUCAUGCACGAAAGCGUGGGGAGCAAACAGGAUUAGAUACCCGCGUAGUCCCUGUCUCUUAUAC